AUAACGGAAGAUAACUCGUAUCAGAAACGAGAAAAGUCUUCAGCUGUUAGAGAAGCCCUAAGACUAGAUCCAAAGCGUGUGCGCACAGAAGAAAUGUUUGCAGCCAGCUUCCCAGAUGUUAAAGAGCAUCAAAACCACCCUGUUUUUGGAAAGGAAUCAAGAGACAUUCGGAACAUCAUGAAAGAGGUCAAGGCAGGAAACAGGUGCAGACCAUCAUAAUCUACAGGCCUUGGUAAACACAUGGAAAGAAGAGGGCUGUACCGUUGAGUACAGACCCUCUCAGGAGGAAGAGGAGGAGGAUGGUAGCGUGGUGAAGAUGCUGCUGUGCUUGCAGACGCCGUGGCAGAAGAGGCUUAUGCGACUGUAUGGACAGCAGAUGUGCUUACUGGAUGAAUCCUAUCGAGCUGGCAGAAAUUCACUGCCACUCUUCUUUCUGUGGGUGAGGACGAAUGUGAGCUACGCCGCUGUUGGAGUGUUUGUCACUCAGACAGAGACCAAAGAGGACAUCGCAGAAGCCUUGAAGGUGUUUCAGAAGUGGAAUUCAGACUGGAAUCCAUCACACUUCAUGGUGGACUUCUGUGAGGCGGAAAUCAGUGCUUUAGAGGAGGUGUUUAAGGGUUCUAAAGUGCUCCUCUGUGAUGUUCACCAAGAGAAGGCAUGGAUGGAGUGGAUAAGAAAAAAGGAGAAUGGUGUGACAUCUCAGGAAGAGGUUCUUAAACUUCUACAGGCCAUUGCAGAUUCUCAGACGAAUGAGGAGUUUGAGAACAACACUGUUACCCUCCAACAACAUCCAGACUGGCAGUCAAAUGAGAAGCUGAGAAGGUUCGUCAGCACAUGGCUAGUUCAUGCAGAGAGGUGGGUGAACAUGUUCGGAAAUGAGAACAUGCAUGUGGCUGCCUUCAAAAAUAAAGGUGUUAAAAGACAAAAGGAUGUCCUGAAGCAUUCACACCUAAAGGGACACAGAAACUGCAGUCUCAGCGAAACGCUUAUAGUCAUUAUGAACAACUUCCUGCCAAGAUCGUAUCAAAAGUAUGUUGAAUUGAAUAUCAAAUGCUCAAGUGGCUCUCGCAAAUACAGCACAAAUGUGCCUUAUUAUGCAGGAUACAGACCAAGAAUUAUGUCUCAACACAUUAUGAAAAGGCACCAAGAGUCGCUGCUCUUCAAUGCGAGUGACAUAACAUCUGCUGGAGAGAACGUCUUCAAUGUUCAGAGUCAAACUUCACUGGAAAAACAUCAGGUGAACUUUGGUAAAGACGAUGAGAUGCCUUCAUGUACAUGCAUGGACUGGCAGAGACAUCUUCUCCCGUGCCAGCAUUUCUGUGCUGUUUUUGCCUUAGUUCCUGGCUGGAGUUGGGAGAAUCUGAGCGCUGCGUACAGGAACAACCCUCUCUUCACGUUUGACGAGGUUUGCCUGGGACAGUCUACUACCCUUCCUUCUGAUCUUCAAGGCGAAGAGGCUCUGAAGAAGAAUCAGGAGAAAGAUAUUAGUCCAGAGAGUUGUCCGUCUCCUGCUGCUCCCUCAGAUCCCAUCCUGACCAAUCCUGAAGCAGAAAAAAGCGAGAAGUGCUGUAGCUUGUUGAAGGAGAUAUCAGAAUUGACAUGCCACAUACAGGAUGGGACCUUUCUAGAUUCAGUAACUGAUCGCCUUACGGAUCUGUUAACAGAUAUAAGGCGACACACUCCCCAUGAUGACAUCCUUGACCUUUCCUACGCCCCACCAUCCAAGAAAAUGUGUUCAGCAUCUGCAGAGCACCCAGAAUCAAUUAACACAGUUCCUCUGUAUCUGGAGAAGAUAAUGAGGGCAACCCCUACAAGUGACUUUUGAACUACAUUUUUAAGGUGUUACUUCCCUCAAUCGUGAUUUGUGGUUGUAAACAUAUUUGUCAUUAAAAUGCUUUAAUUUUUUGGAACAAUUGAGUUGUAAUUUCUGUUAUUCCGAUAUAACAUGAUUGAUGUAGCCUAACAAACCCUCAAGUAGUGUGAUAUCAUUGUCCUUUGCUUUCCUGACAAAAGUACCGUGCUGGUCAUUAAAAUAGGAAAAAAAGUGAAUUUUACUAAUGUGAAGAUUCUCUCUAUUGUACAGCGGAGUUCAAAUAUUUGGGGCCGGUAAGAUAUUUGAAUGUUUUUGAAAGAAUUCUCUUCUGCUCACCAAGGCUGCAUUUAUUUGAUACAGUAAAACAGGAAUAUUGUGAAAUAUUAUUACAGUUUAAAAUAACUGUUUUCUAUUGGAAUAUAUUUUUAAAUGUAAUUUAUUCCUGUGAUGCAAAGCUGAAUUUUCCAGCAUCAUUACUCCAGUCUUCAAUGUCACAUGAUCCUUCAGAAAUCAUUCUAAUAUACUGAUUUGCUGCUUAAGAAAUACAGGUGCUGGUCAUAUAAUUAGAAUAUCAUCAAAAAGUUGAUUUAUUUCACUAAUUCCAUUCAAAAAGUGAAACUUGUAUAUUAUAUUCAUUCAUUACACACAGACUGAUAUAUUUCAAAUGUUUAUUUCUUUUCAUUUUGAUGAUUAUAACUGACAACUAAGGAAAAUCUCAAAUUCAGUAUCUCAGAAAAUUAGAAUAUUACUUAAGACCAAUACAAAGAAAAGAUUUUUAAAAACUUUGGCCAACUGAAAAUUAUGAACAUGAAAAGUAUGAGCAUGUACAGCACUCAGUACUUAGUUGGGGCUCCUUUUGCCUGAAUUACUGCAGCAAUGCGGCGUGGCAUGGAGUCGAUCAGUCUGUGGCACUGCUCAGGUGUUAUGAGAGCCCAGGUUGCUCUGAUAGUGACCUUCAGCUCUUCUGCAUUGUUGGGUCUGGCAUAUCACAUCUUCC
ensembl:lncRNA